rnacentral:rRNA from 1 species
UGAGGAAUAUUGGACAAUGGGUGAGAGCCUGAUCCAGCCAUCCCGCGUGAAGGACGACGGCCCUAUGGGUUGUAAACUUCUUUUGUACAGGGAUAAACCUUUCCACGUGUGGGAAGCUGAAGGUACUGUACGAAUAAGCACCGGCUAACUCCGUG